GAUGAAGAACGCAGCGAAAUGCGAUAAGUAGUGUGAAUUGCAGAAUUCAGUGAAUCAUCGAAUCUUUGAACGCACAUUGCGCCCCUUGGUAUCCCGAGGGGCAUGCCUGUUCGAGCGUCAUUUCACCACUCAAGCCUGGCUUGGUGUUGGGCGACGUCCCCUUUGGGGACGCGCCUCGAAACGCUCGGCGGCGUGGCACCGGCUUUAAGCGUAGCAGAAUCUUUCGCUUUGGAAGUCGGGGCCCCGUCUGCCGGAAGACCUACUCGCAAGGUUGACCUCGGAUCAGGCAGGGAUACCCGCUGAACUUAAGCAUAUCAAUAGCGAGGA
rnacentral:misc_RNA from 1 species